ACUAAUGAGUGGAACGAUUUUACAAAGAAAACGCGGUAACACGCGCAGAUCCUAAGGCAAGAUAACCACCGGCAGAAAUAUAGUGAUUGAUCGAGUUAGGCCGAGGAGGAAAACAGGUUAUUGUGGUUACAGAUUGUAAUCUGAAUGCGAGAAAAUAAUAAGUUACAUUGCAACUAUAAUUUAUAAAAGUUUAUUCGAAGAAGAAGUUCGUUUCUCUAUAAAAAUCGUGCGGAAACCGGUUGAGGUCUGCAAUUGCUUGAAUCUAUUCGGUACGGUACAGGAUAGGAAAUCGAGACGCGAACUUCGUGCCAUAAUGAACCUUUUAACUCAGGCAAAAGUAGCUUUAAUGACAGUUUAAAGUUUCUUCUCUCGAUCGAGGCACGUAUUGUGUUGGCC